UACGUAGGGUGCAAGCGUUGUCCGGAAUUACUGGGCGUAAAGGGCUCGUAGGCGGCCAACUAAGUCAGACGUGAAAUCCCUCGGCUUAACCGGGGAACUGCGUCUGAUACUGGAUGGCUUGAGUUUGGGAGAGGGAUGCGGAAUUCCAGGUGUAGCGGUGAAAUGCGUAGAUAUCUGGAGGAACACCGGUGGCGAAGGCGGCAUCCUGGACCAACACUGACGCUGAGGAGCGAAAGCCAGGGGAGCAAACGGG
rnacentral:rRNA from 1 species